GCCUGUGCCGGUACCGGUGAGUCCAGAGCCGUUAUCACCCCUUUGGGUUCAGCCGUUUGUCGGACACUACAGAUAACACAGACACGGAGCUGUAGCCUGGUAACCACAGGCCAAGACAGCAUUAACACCCUAGCGGCACCCUCACCGUGUGCUCGGGCUCAGUUUGAGGGCCUGAGCAACGGGGGGCACCCGCUCAUCGCCCCAUAGCACCGGGCUCAGUUUGAGGUGAGGGCCGUCAUGGAAGUGCCCAGUGAUGAAAACCGAGCUCUGGAUUCACACAACACACCUAAAGUCAAUGCAGCCUUUGGAACAAAGAGUGAGGAAUUGUUCCCGUUGUUCGGAUGGGGAAACGAAGGCACAAGGACAGGAAAACCCAGCGUGGAGUGAGGGGAACCAGCCUGGAGGACAGCAAACGGCUCAGCCUCAAGGUCUCUGCUUAAGGAGGAGGAACUGAUGCAGAGGAGAUCAAUGGGGUUGUUUUAGCAUGUGGACAAUGAGACUUGGAGCACAGCAGCUCAGAGGGAUGCGCUGUACCGGUUACAAAGCACAUCCACGUUCCUCUUGUCGAGCCUCCGGUAUCUUCAGCUUGUAAACCACACACAGAGCUCUCCUGUGCUCCCUUUCAUGGGCUGAAAACAGACACGAGAGGGGUCUGUGCAGAAAACAAGAGUCUGCAGUGGAGGAUCAGCUACAGUGAUAAACCCAGAGCACAACUAUUCCAUAUAGACCUUUAUGAGUCUAUACUAGAAACAAUGGCAGCAGCACAACCCCACAGGACACCAGUUCUCUUCCAGCUGUAUUUGACACUGUGCAGCCCAUUGCUACAACGGCACUUCUCAAGUACCAAACAGAAGAAACCAAGUUAUUGCAUGGCCAAGACAACCCAGGCAGCACCAGGUACUGGUCUUUGACAAGGAGUUUCAUGGCAUGAAACCUGGAAGUGGCCUGACUGUGGAUCAGAGGUGCUGUCUGUCAUCCUGCCACACACAUCCAUGGAAGUCCCUUCACCAGGAUAACGCUGCUUGUGAACCCAAUGCUCUCCAUACAGUGGAAGACAUUGACAGAGGAGUGAUGUGUGUCCCUUGGCACCUGCAGGCACAGACACCUCCCUCCGAGCUGGUUUCCCAUGACACAGCUGUAAAGUGCAAUGUAUGCUUUGGUUUCCUCAGCUAAAGAAAGCACUUCUUGAAUGGGGUCAGGCAAAGAGAGGACCCAUGUGCUCAGGGACACGCUCUCAACAGAUGAUGGUCUCUGUACCGGCAGAGAAGAGCCAUGAGCUACUCAAUGAAACCCGUUUCACUCCGGCUGAGCAGUGGCUCUUAAAGCAGUUGUCAUGGCAGUGACUUGGGAGCCAGAAUUCCACAGCCAGCAGGGAU